GAUGAACGCUGGCGGCGUGCCUAAUACAUGCAAGUCGAGCGAACAGACGAGGAGCUUGCUCCUCUGACGUUAGCGGCGGACGGGUGAGUACCACGUGGAUAACCUACCUAUAAGACUGGGAUAACUUCGGGAAACCGGAGCUAAUACCGGAUAAUAUAUUGAACCGCAUGGUUCAAUAGUGAAAGACGGUUUUGCUGUCACUUAUAGAUGGAUCCGCGCCGCAUUAGCUAGUUGGUAAGGUAACGGCUUACCAAGGCAACGAUGCGUAGCCGACCUGAGAGGGUGAUCGGCCACACUGGAACUGAGACACGGUCCAGACUCCUACGGGAGGCAGCAGUAGGGAAUCUUCCGCAAUGGGCGAAAGCCUGACGGAGCAACGCCGCGUGAGUGAUGAAGGUCUUCGGAUCGUAAAACUCUGUUAUUAGGGAAGAACAAAUGUGUAAGUAACUGUGCACGUCUUGACGGUACCUAAUCAGAAAGCCACGGCUAACUACGUG
rnacentral:rRNA from 1 species